GCAUCGAUGAAAAACGCAGCGAAAUGCGAUAAGUAAUGUGAAUUGCAGAAUUCAGUGAAUCAUCGAAUCUUUGAACGCACAUUGCGCCCAUUAGUAUUCUAGUGGGCAUGCCUGUUCGAGCGUCAUU
rnacentral:rRNA from 1 species